GACAGUUGCUUGCGAAGCCGCAGCUGACGAGGAGUGAAGCAGAAAUCGUCCUAUCCGCCGAAAAUGGCAGAAGGGAGCGUGCAGCAGAUAAUGAGCGACACCGCUGAAGGAAGCGUACAUGCGAUGGGAGGACAGUCUUAUCGCCCAAGAAACCGGCCACGGUUUAUUUCGUGAGACCGCGGCGGAGCGAAAGGGCAUGAACCAGAGCAUUGCCGGUUCCAUUUGGCAACGUGAUUCAAGUGCCAACAGCGGGGUCAUAUCGCCCGAGCCUGCUCCCGUCGGGAGACAGAGUUCAUUGAAGGGCCACCAGGGCUGCCGCGCCAGGUAUACAUAGGCUAUCGUCUCGGGAGGUGGACACAACUGUGGGCACGCACGGUAUAUUCGCGUUGGAAGCAGCGAACAGUCAUGUCAGACACGCCGGCAUCACGCAACCCAUUGUGCGCACGUUGAAUUGUGGGGGCGUUCCGGUGAACAUGCAGGUCGAUACAGGGACACUGGUGUCGGUGAUCACGUGGCCCACCUAUAAGCAAAGCAAAACAGUGUGGCCCAAGCUGCGUGGUUCGCCGUUGAAACUGACUUGCUUCCUGGGAAGGCUUUUUGUUCGUGGACAAUUCAACCUUAAGGUUUCAUGCGGAAACCGGUCGACGGACGGAUCCCUGCCAGUCCUCGGUUGCUACGGCCCCAGCCUGUGCGGGCCCGACCUGGUCCAGGCGUUCAACAUGCUUCAGGCGCCAGUAAUGAACGUGAAAGCGACAGAGUUCAACACUGCCGGACGACUGGGAGACGGCGAAGGUGAUUCCAGUCCACAAAUUCCUGUUCGCUGCUCACUUGAAAGAACCACAAAAUCUAACUUACUUUCUUUUAUAACCAAGGCAAUAUCGGCAAAAGGCAAAGGUAACUAGGAGAAACAGACAAGGAGACCAAAGUCGACGAAGAACUGAUACGUGCUUUCAAAAAUCACAACAUUACUCACAGCAAUUCGACUACUGUUACCAUCACAGUUUCUACAAAAGCCUAAAUACUCAAGUACUAAAUA